rnacentral:rRNA from 1 species
UACGUAGGGUGCAAGCGUUGUCCGGAAUUAUUGGGCGUAAAGAGCUCGUAGGCGGUUUGUCGCGUCUGCUGUGAAAACUCAGGGCUUAACUCUGAGCUUGCAGUGGGUACGGGCAGACUAGAGUGCGGUAGGGGAGACUGGAAUUCCUGGUGUAGCGGUGAAAUGCGCAGAUAUCAGGAGGAACACCGGUGGCGAAGGCGGGUCUCUGGGCCGUAACUGACGCUGGAGGAG